rnacentral:rRNA from 1 species
UACGAAGGGGGCUAGCGUUACUCGGAUUGACUGGGCGUAAGGGCGCGUAGGCGGCUUGUACAGUCAGACGUGAAAUUCCUGGGCUCAACCUGGGGGCUGCGUUUGAUACGUAUGGGCUUGAGUUCGGAAGAGGGUCGUGGAAUUCCCAGUGUAGAGGUGAAAUUCGUAGAUAUUGGGAAGAACACCGGUGGCGAAGGCGGCGACCUGGUCCGAUACUGACGCUGAGGCGCGAAAGCGUGGGGAGCAAACAGG